UUAUUUUUUUUUUUACUAAAAUUGUAUCAGAAAGCAUAAUACUUUCAGUUUUGAGACACUGGAUUUGUUACACUACACUAUAGACCCUCUGCAUUUCUUUAACCAGACCUGUACAGUAAUUCCCUGAUUUUAUCAGUUGCACCACUCAUAUGGUCACCCUCACAAAUUAGGCAGCCUGAAUAGCUGAGGAUCUUAAAAGUUUCUGUGGAAAUGUGAAAUGGGAGCUGAUUCCUUUCUUCCCUCCUAAUGUAUGUGUGCCUUGAGUAUUUUAAGGCAACAUCUACUUGUCUGGAAGAAGUAGCUUUAAAGUGAUCAAUUUUACCUGUAAAUAUUACACAGAUGAAAUCCCAGAAAAGAGUCUUUAUUAUAGUGGAAGAAAUGAAGGUGGUUUAAAAAGAAAGCCACACAAAGAUUAUCUGAGUGCUGGAAAAAAAGCCCUACUGUGAAGGACAGAAUGAAUGCAAUUCGCUAAGCUUAUCAAAAAAGAGUUUGAAAGGUAACUUGAUUGUAGCAGAGAAGUACUAACACACAGAGAACAUACCAUGUAUUAAAAGGCUUUUUAACCUCAGGGAAGAGAAUAUAAGCAAAAACAAGAAAGGCCCUCUGGGCAAAGGUCCCUCCCUGGCAUCCCUGGGGCAGGGAUCCCUGAGAGUCCGGUGGGCAGCUUCAGGCUGUGCCGGCCGGCUUGGCGCUGGGCGACCUGCCUGUAAGCAGGGCUGGGUCCUUUGCUUUGCUUGGCGUUGGCCUUUUGCCAUCGCGCUCCUGUGGCUGCCCAGAGAGAGGGGCAACCGCCCUGUAAGGAGGGCGAGAGUGCCCGUCUCCACACCCGAGGGCGGAAAGGGAGCUCUCCCGACCCCCAGCCCACACUGUACAGUUCCUGCCCGUGGUUCAGCAAAGGAGGGGAAGGAAGAAAUGCUACCUGCGGUUUAACAGUUCUGUGAAUGAAAAACUUACUUUUAAUGCACAGCUUGCAACCUGGUAGGACUCAAAACAAGGUGUAUUUUAUUAAUUCUGUUUAAUAUCACACACUGAAGUUUGAGGCACCAAUGGCAGGAGAGACUGGCACUGCUAAGAUUGCAAUUCAUCCAACAACUCACAUCUUUCUCAUGAAGUCUUGUCUGAGGAAUACUGGGGCAUGUGUCAGCAGAGAAGCUGUGGUGUUGCACUUCAACAGGAGUGUAUGUCAUUUGUGCCUCAUAUGUCUGAAAAUGGAAAGGGGUUAGGGAACUGAGUAUUGCCAGUCACAAAGUUCAAAAAAACUGCUAGGGCUGAAAAUGCUAUUUUACGAAGAUGUGGGGUCAGGGAGUGCAAGUCUUUCUUCUAUUUUUUGUUUUCUGGUUGAUUUGGGCCAUCUUUUAAAAUUAUUUCAACAACCAUAAUGGCCAGAAACUUACUGUUUUGUAGCAUGUUUUAUGUCUCUCUCUUUUUUUUUUUUUUUUUUUUUUAGUUUGUAUUUUGAUUCUCGAAACUCUUCAUAAAGCUUGAAUUUCAUAUAGAAUAGCCCUAUUUCUUCUUUAAAUUUGAUGAUACGCUCUCAUUUUCAUGUAUGUAUUAGCAAAGUGUAAUAUUUCUUUUAAAGCUUUUAAUAUUUUCAGGCUUCCUUCCAUUUAAAAUUAUAAUUCUCUGCUAUGUCAAUUAAAUGCUACACUGAUUUUCUUGAA